rnacentral:rRNA from 1 species
UACGUAGGGUGCAGGCGUUAAUCGGAAUUACUGGGCGUAAAGCGUGCGCAGGCGGCCUCUUAAGUCAGAUGUGAAAUCCCCGGGCUUAACCUGGGAACUGCGUUUGAAACUGGGAGGCUUGAGUGUGGAAGAGGGGGGUGGAAUUCCAGGUGUAGCAGUGAAAUGCGUAGAUAUCGGAAGGAACAUCAGUGGCGAAAGCGACUUCCUGGACCAGUACCGACGUUCAGGCACGAAAGCGUGGGGAGCAAACAGG